rnacentral:misc_RNA from 1 species
GAUGAAGAACGUAGCGAAAUGCGAUAAGUAAUGUGAAUUGCAGAAUUCAGUGAAUCAUCGAAUCUUUGAACGCACAUUGCGCCCCUUGGUAUUCCGAGGGGCAUGCCUGUUCGAGCGUCAUUAUAACCCCUCAAGCUCAGCUUGGUGUUGGGGCCUGCUGCACUGGCAGCCCUUAAAAUCAGUGGGGCGCCAUCUGGCUCUAAGCGUAGUAAUUCUUCUCGCUAUGGAGUCCUGGUGGAUGCUUGCCAUCAACCCCCAAUUUUUCUAUGGUUGACCUCGGAUCAGGUAGGGAUACCCGCUGAACUUAAGCAUAUCAAUAAGCGGAGGA